GAUGAACGCUGGCGGCGUGCCUAAUACAUGCAAGUCGAGCGAACAGACGCGGCGCUUGCUGCGUUGACGUUAGCGGCGGACGGGUGAGUAACACGUGGAUAACCUACCUAUAAGUCUGGUAUCAUUUCGAGACACCGGAGCUAAUCCCGGAUAAUCUAUUGCACCGCGGGGUGCAAUGGUAAGAGUCGGUUUUGCUGUCUCGUAUAGCUGGAUCCGCGCCGCAUGAGCUGGUUGGUAAGGUAACGGCUUACGAAGGCAAGGAUGCGUAAACGAACUGCGAGGGUGAUCGGCGACAUGGGAACUGAGACACGGUCCAGAGUCCUAAGGGAGGCAGCAGUAGGGAAUCGUCCGCAAUGGGGGAAAGCCUGACGGAGCAACGCCGAGUGAGUGAUGAAGGUCUCCGGAUCGUAAAACUCUGUUAUGAGGUAAGAACAAAUGUGUAAGUAACUAUGCACGUCUUGACGGUACCUAAUCAGAAAGCCACGGCUAACUACGUG
rnacentral:rRNA from 1 species